GCCCGAUGAACCUGAAUAUCCGUUAUGGAAAAUUCAUCAUUAGAAUUGUGAUAUUUAAACAAUAUUAUAAUAAUAGUGUGCAUUUUUUCCAUAUAAGGACAUUGUAAUCUAUUAGCAUAUUAAAUUUAUCAUACAAUUAUUUCAUUUUGUUUAUUUCAAUUAAGGUGCUUGCAUUUUAACAUGAAAUUAAAAGGAAUAACUUUGAUAAAGUGCUGAUAGAUUUAUAAGAUUACGGUGCGUUAAUUUUUCGGAAUUAUAUAAUGGCAUGAUUAUCAUUGAUUUUUAUGUUUAUUAUAUGCACUUGUAUGAUUAACAAUGCGAAAGAUUCAGGAUACUUCGGG
rnacentral:rRNA from 1 species